AAGCUUAGUUGAGUUGAGUUGUAGAAUGUUUCGUAUAGAUCGCCACUAUUUCUCAACUCCCAACAUUGCAUGCUUGUUGUACAUUCACUAGCUUUCAGCAUAAAAUUCCACAAUUGCUCAUUGACUUUCUAUAAGGAAUAUUUAUCACAAAACAUGCAACAAUGUUUCCUGGAUUGUAAAUUUUGGCAACUGUUCAAAAUAAACAGGCUCUCUCAUCCUUUGGCUACAAAUCGUAAGUGAACUUUUUGCCUAGAGUAUUGUAUUUAUCAUAUUUGCAAAUUACUAGCAUUACACAAUGGAACCUAAUAUCUUGAAUAUCUACACAUCAUUAUAGGAUGGCAUUCCAUAUUCUACAUGAUCAGAAAAUUUAAAUCUUAUUUGAUACAAAAAUUGUUCCUGUCAAAAUAACUUCCACUUUUAAGCGGAGUACCAUAUUAUUUUUUCACAUUUUCAGCCAUUUAGAUCUGCUCCAGGUACCACUGAAUUAGGUCAAACAAUUAGAAAAUGCAUCAAUUAUUACAUAUAGCUGCAGAUCAGUUAUUCUGUAAAAAAUGCUCAUGCACGUCACCAACCUACUCUGCCAGCCGCCCGCCG
rnacentral:misc_RNA from 1 species